UGUCUUUUAGAAAUUAAUUAAAAGUCUAACCUGCCCACUGAAAUUUUUAAAUGGCCGCAGUAUUUUAACUGUGCAAAGGUAGCAUAAUCAUUAGUCUUUUAAUUGAAGGCUGGAAUGAAUGGUUGAAUGAAAUAUUAACUGUUUCAUAGAAAUUUUUAAUAAAAUUUUAUUUUUUAGUCAAAAAGCUAAAAUUUAAUUAAAAGACGAGAAGACCCUAUAAAUCUUUAUAUUUUAAAUAUUAAAAUUAUAUAGAAAAAUAAAAUUUUAAUUUUCAAAAUUAUUUUAUUGGGGUGAUAUUAAAAUUUAAUAAACUUUUAAUUUAUUAUAAACAUUAAUUAAUGAAUUUUUGAUCCAUUUAUUAUGAUUAAAAAAUUAAGUUACUUUAGGGAUAACAGCGUAAUUUUUUUAGAGAGUUCCUAUUGAUAAAAAAGAUUGCGACCUCGAUGUUGGAUUAAGAUACAGUUUUAGGUGCAGUAGCUUAAACUUAAAGUCUGUUCGACUUUUAAAUUCUUACAUGAUCUGAGUUCAAA
rnacentral:rRNA from 1 species